rnacentral:ncRNA from 1 species
UGGUAGCUGGAACCACCAGGCUCUCUAGCCGAACCCAGCCUUCAAAUCAACCCACGGG